UCCUCCGUGGCGCAAUUGGCUAGCGCGUCUGACUGUUAUUCGAAACAGAAUCGCAAUCAGGAGGUUGACAGUUCAAGCCUGUCCGGGGGAG